AAUGAACGCUGGCGGUGUGCUUAACACAUGCAAGUCGAGCGCGAAAGUUCCUUCGGGAAUAAGUAGAGCGGCGAACGGGUGAGUAACACGUGAGAAUCUGCCCUUUAGUGAGGAAUAUGUCCGGGAAACUGGAUUUAAUACUGCAUACGUCCCUGCGGGGAGAAAGAUGGCUUUUAUGCUGUCGCUGAAGGAUGAGCUCGCGCAUUAUUAGCUAGUUGGUGGGGUAAAGGCCUACCAAGGCGAUGAUAAUUAGCCGGCCUGAGAGGGUGAACGGCCACAUUGGGACUGAGACACGGCCCAGACUCCUACGGGAGGCAGCAGUGAGGAAUAUUGCGCAAUGGACGAAAGUCUGACGCAGCGACACCGCGUGAAGGAUGAAGGUUCUAGGAUCGUAAACUUCUGUUAAACAGGAAGAAAGACCUGCGGGUAAUAUACGCAGGAGAUGACGUUACUGUUAAAGAAAGCACCGGCUAACUUCGUGCCAGCAGCCG
rnacentral:rRNA from 1 species